UAAGAACCCACUGUAAUAACGUUCAUUUACACACAUUUUGAAAUAGUAGUAAACGAAGUGAGAUUAGUUAAGCAUUACAAUUAUUGUAUAGAUUUAUACCAUGAUUAGGAUCAAUAAAAAAUGCACAUAAUGCUUUCGAAAACUAUAUUUAAUAACUAGUGCAUAUAUUAAAUGCGAGAGCAAUGCAGUUGCUACAAUAAACUAAAGACAACAACCGAAAUAUAAAGAUAUACCCAUAUUAACAACUCAUCAGAAACCAACUGCACAUCCUAAUCAACUUUAAACUCAACAUAGUGACAAUAUUUUUUCCAUCCUUGGAAACACAUCCAGAUCAACUUCAAACCCAACACAGAGCCAGGCAGACAGCAAUAUAAUAUUCAACAACAACAUCACAAAAUGAUUAAAUGGAUCAUAAUGAUGGCAACACUUACCCCAACAUUCAAGACUCAAACCAUCGACCUACAGGACGUAUCGAACAAUAAUGGAUACAUACCGAUAAAAACAGGAGAGACUAAAACUGUAGAACACUACAUAAAAGUGCUACACAUAAUAAACACCACAGAAUACGAACGAACUAUGGAAAUAAUCAAAAACAACAUUGACAUCCUAAAGAUAUCCAGCAGCGAAUCAAAAAAAUUAAUAAAUACAAUAAAUAUUUAUGCUAUUAAGAGCAAAAAUAGAAAACCUUAACCCACAUUUCCGAAGGAAACGGGCUCUCUUAAACAUUAUAGGAAAGGGUCUAAAAAUUAUUACAGGUACAAUGGACAGUGACGAUGAAGAACAAAUAACUAAAACUCUUAAAUUACUACAUACGAACGAUGAAAACUUAACUAA